UACAGAGGUCCCAAGCGUUGUUCGGAUUCACUGGGCGUAAAGGGUGCGUAGGUGGCAUGGCCAGUUUGAUGUGAAAGCUCAGGGCUUAACCCUGAAUGGCAUUGAAUACUGCUGUGCUGGAGGUUUGGAGGGGGGACUGGAAUUCUUGGUGUAGCAGUGAAAUGCGUAGAUAUCAAGAGGAACACCAGUGGCGAAGGCGAGUCCCUGGACACACCUGACACUGAGGCACGAAAGCUAGGGGAGCAAACAGG
rnacentral:rRNA from 1 species